rnacentral:rRNA from 1 species
UACAGAGGUCUCAAGCGUUGUUCGGAUUCAUUGGGCGUAAAGGGUGCGUAGGCGGCGCGGUAAGUCGGGUGUGAAAUCGUUGGAAGCUUAACUCCGAAACUGCAUUCGAUACUGCCGUGCUUGAGGACUGGAGAGGAGACUGGAAUUUACGGUGUAGCGGUGAAAUGCGUAGAUAAUCGUAAGGAAGACCAGUGGCGAAGGCGGGUCUCUGGACAGUUCCUGACGCUGAGGCACGAAGGCCAGGGGAGCAAACGGG